rnacentral:tRNA from 1 species
GGACCUAUAGUCUAGUGGUAGGAUACUGCCUUCACAUGGCAGAGGCUUCAGUUCAAUUCUGAGUAGGUCCA